rnacentral:rRNA from 1 species
GAUAAGCUUGAUUCCUACGGGAGGCAGCAGUGGGGAAUCUUCCGCAAUGGGCGCAAGCCUGACGGAGCGACGCCGCGUGGGUGAAGAAGGCCUUCGGGUCGUAAAGCCCUGUCAGUGGGGAAGAAAGCAGACAUCAAGAAAAGGGUGUUUGUUGACGGUACCCGCAGAGGAAGCCCUGGCCAACUACGUGCCAGCAGCCGCGGUAAUA